rnacentral:rRNA from 1 species
UACGAGAGGCCCAAACGUUAUUCGGAUUUACUGGGCUUAAAGAGUCCGUAGGCGGCAUGUUAGGUGAGGUGUGAAAUCCCCCGGCUCAACCGAGGAAUUGCGCUUCAAACCGGCGUGCUAGAGGAAGAUAGAGGUGGGCGGAACUGAUGGUGGAGCGGUGAAAUGCGUUGAUAUCAUCAGGAAUACCGGAGGCGAAGGCGGCUCACUGGGUCUUUUCUGACGCUGACGAACGAAAGCUAGGGGAGCAAACGGG